UGCGUAGGUGGCCUGACAAGUCAGGGGUCAAAGGCAACGGCUCAACCGUUGUAAGCCCUUGAAACUGUCGGGCUUGAAUUCAGGAGAGGAAAGCGGAAUUCCUAGUGUAGCGGUGAAAUGCGUAGAUAUUAGGAGGAACACCAGUGGCGAAGGCGGCUUUCUGGACUGAUACUGACACUGAGGCACGAAAGCGUGGGGAGCAAACA
rnacentral:rRNA from 1 species